rnacentral:tRNA from 1 species
GGUUGAUGGGGUCAUUUGAGUUUAUGUUAAGGGCCCAUAGCUCAGGCGGUUAGAGUGCACCCCUGAUAAGGGUGAGGUCGGUAGUUCGAAUCUACCUGGGCCCACCAUUCAAUCAGGCAAGGGGCCGUAGCUCAGCUGGGAGAGCGCCUGCUUUGCAAGCAGGAUGUCAGCGGUUCGAUCCCGCUCGGCUCCACCAAUUGCGAAUUUAUAGUUUUUUUGUUCUAGGGGAUUUUUUUUUAGAGCAAUAGUUUUUUGAAAAUUGAAUAGAAGGUAGAUUUUUUUGUAUUUUUCAUAUUGGCAUUGUAUGCGAUAUGGGAGGUACCGACGUUGUAUAACCGCACGUUGAAGAUUUAUCUCAGGAAAUUGGUCUAUUGAAAGAGCAUAAUUUAUUUAUGUUUUUUUAAUUAAGAAACGUUUGUAAUGAACUUUAUGACGUAUUGACAAUGAGAGUG